AGGCUGGUAGUUCAAUGGCUAGAAUAAGGGUCUCCAAAACCCUAGAUGAGAGUUCGAUCCUCUCCCGGCCUG
rnacentral:tRNA from 1 species